rnacentral:ncRNA from 2 species
CAAUAAUGCGGAGUCGAUGCAACGCGGCCCAUACUUGGGCGCCUGGACCGUGUGAAGACAGUGGCGCAACCGACCGCUGCCG